rnacentral:rRNA from 1 species
CCUACGGGCGGCAGCAGUGAGGAAUAUUGGUCAAUGGGCGCGAGCCUGAACCAGCCAAGUCGCGUGAGGGAAGACGGUCCUAUGGUUUGUAAACCUCUUUUUUCGGGGCGCAAAAGACGCCACUCGUGGCGUUCCGAGAGUACCCGAAGAACAAGCAUCGGCUAACGCCGUGCCAGCAGCCGCAGUAAUCCGGCGGAUGCGAGCGUUAUCAGGAUUUUUUGGGUUUAAAGGGAGCGUAGAUGGGUUGUUAAGUCAGUUGUGAAAGUUUGCGGCGAAACCGUAAAAUUGCAAUUGAUACUGGCAGCCUUGAGGACAGUUGAGGUAGGCGGAAUUCGUGGUGUAGCGGUGAAAUGCUUAGAUAUCACGAAGAACUCCGAUUGCGAAGGCAGCUUACGAAACUGCCACUGACAUUGAUGCUCGAAAGGGGGGGUAUCAAACAGGAUUAGAUACCCGGUAGUC